ACGAGGGAAAAUAAGCAGGAAAAGGUAAACAAGGAGGAAAAGGAAGCGUGGAAAAAUAACUUGACCAAGCUGAAAAUGAAUCACCUUGACCCCGAAGAUGCCAUAUUCCUGGUUGAUGCGUUCCUGGAUGAGUGCAAGUUUCUUCAGCAAGCGUUAAAAGCGUGUCCUGUGCUCCGUCUACCAGCACAACUGAAGACACUGUGAUCAUCGAAAAUUUUGGUUUUUUUCCCUUAAUACUUGUUUCCUUAUUUGUUAUGUGGUAAUUGCCCAGAUUUAACAUUGCCUUCUUCCCUUUUAAUUUUCAGACUCCCUCAUUCAAGAUGUCCGAGACCUCUUGGGAAGUGGUGCUGAACAACCUUUCCCCUCAGACUGGAGGAACAGGCAAACUACCUCUCUGGAGAAUUGGACAGUAAUGAGGCCCUUCAUGGUGAACAAUAUGUUGUCAUCUGAGAAGCCCAAGGAGGGGGUUUGCCAUCACUGUGGACACAAGGCUGCAGUAGUGAUGUGUAGGGACUGUUUACCGCGAUCACUCUACUGCACAGCCUGUGACCUUUCCACACAUGAGGCCCUGGUGCUUCAUAACAGAGCAUCCAUGGUGGAGGGGUUCUUCAGACACCUGCCGCCAUCCACUUUUGUUCAGCAGCACGAGGGAGGGAAAUUCUCCUAUCAUGAAAAAG
ensembl:lncRNA